AAAGAUUAAGCCAUGCAUGUCUCAGUAUAAACGAUUUAACAGUGAAACCGCGAACGGCUCAUUACAACAGGUAUAAUUUACUUGAUCUUGAAAGAAUCCUACUUGGAUAACUGUGGUAAUUCUAGAGCUAAUACAUGCCCUAAAGCUCUGACCUCGCGGGAAGAGUGCAUUUAUUAGAUCAAAACCAAGCGGCUUCGGCUGUUUCUGGUAGACUCAUAGUAACUGAGCUGAUCGCACGGUCUUGCACCGGCGACGUGUCUUUCAAGUAUCUGCCGUAUCAACUUUCGAUGGUAGUGUAUCUGACUACCAUGGUGAUCACGCGUAACGGAGAAUAAGGGUUCGGCUCCGGAGAGUUCACCUGAGAAAUCGCGAACACAUCUAAGGAAGGCAGCAGGCGCGAAAAUUACCCACUCUCAGCACGAGGAGGUAGUGACGAAAAAUAACGAGACCGUUCUCUUAUGAGGCCGGUCAUCGGAAUGGGUACAAUUUAAACCCUUUAACGAGUAUCUAUGAGAGGGCAAGUCUGGUGCCAGCAGCCGCGGUAAUUCCAGCUCUCAAAGUGCAUAGAAUUAUUGCUGCGGUUAAAAAGCUCGUAGUUGGAUCUGUGCUGGCCUCCCGGUCCACCUUCGGGUGUGCACUGGUGAGGUUGGCUUUCCUGCCCAUUUUUCGGUCAGUGCCUUUAACCGGGUGCUGGUCGUAGUGGGCAAGUUUACUUUGAACAAAUCAGAGUGCUCAAAACAGGCGUUUCGCUUGAAUGUUCGUGCAUGGAAUAAUAGAAGAGGAUUUCGGUUCUAUUUUAUUGGUUUUAUAGACUGAGAUAAUGGUUAACAGAGACAAACGGGGGCAUUCGUAUUGCUACGUGAGAGGUGAAAUUCUUGGACCGUAGCAAGACGAACUACAGCGAAAGCAUUUGCCAAGAAUG
rnacentral:rRNA from 1 species